GGCGGUGGUCAGAUUGGCCUGGACCUGUUUUAUGUUAUUUUUUAUGAUCUAUUUGGGCUUGGGCUUGUUUUAUGUCAUUUUUAUGCCCUAUUUAAAGGACAAAACGUCUUAGGUUUGUAUCUUUUGAUGGCUUAGGCACAAAAACACACUUUUCACCCCUUUGGGGUAGAUUUGAAGAUGGUGACAGCUCUCCUUUUCUCCUUUUUAGGGUUUGUAUCUCUUUCAUUCCAUUCUUCACCUAGUUUCUCCAUGACGACGGGAAACUAAUCUUAUUUGUUGUUGCGGUAACAAUGUAAUCUUUUGAUACUCUCUUUUAUUGAAACUCUUGUUUAUUUAUAUGGUUUCCAUAUGCUUUGAUUAUUAAUUGUUAGGUUCUCAUCUGUGCUUAAUGCUUUUAUCGUUUAACUCAUUUGAUAACUGUUGUUUGUCUUUACUAAUACGGGGACGUACAAUAAUGUCAUUAACUGGUGAGUGAUUCCUUGAUUAAGAAAUACCACCUAGGGAUAGGGGUAGGACGAUCAAUUGUUUUUUCACUUCUGCUCUAUAAUGCAUUAUUAUUUGCUAGGGGAGCCUAGGGAUAGCAAGCCAGUAAUUAGUAAUAGGCUCUUUUCGCCGAGGGAUCGGGUUAAGGGUAGGCCAAGAAAGUUGCAUAACAAUUAGUAAAUCAAGCAAAUAAAUCAAGAGGAGUAAAUAAGAGAGAGCGGAUAAGAUGAAAUUGUAAACCCCCAACAACUCCAUUCAUCCAUCCACUUUUUUGUUUAACCUCAAUUGAUCAAAUUGCAUUCAUGUUUAUUUUUCUGCACUUUAUAAAAAUCCCAAAAUAUUAUUUUUAUUGUCUUGAUUGGUUAAAUAAAAGCACAACAGUUUAGUGUCAUGAGUCUCUUGGGAAAACGAUACUUGGACUUAUCAUUUAUUAUUACUUGAACGAUUUGGUACACUUGCCAAUCCGUUAACAAGUUUUUGGCGCCGUUGUCGGGGACUCAUGGUAGAACUAUUCUAUGUGUGUGAUUCUUGAUCGAUUAGACUUUUUUUUUUAUUUGAUCUUAUUUGAUUUGAUUUGAUUUUAUCUUAUUUUGUUUUAUUUUAUUUUAUCUUAUUUUGUUUCAUUUGAUUUGAUUUGAUUUGAUUUGAUUGGAUUUGAUUUGAUUUGAUUUGAUUUGAUUUGAUUUGAUUUUAUUUUAUUUUAUUUUAUUUUUUUAUCUUUCUGUUUUUAUUUCUUUUCUUUUAAAAAAAACGAAAAUAAAAUAAAAUAAUAUCUUUCCUUAUUCUUCUUUUUAUUCUUCUUCACAUUCUUUUCCUCAUUCUUCUCCUUAUCUUUCCAUCUGUCUACCUUUCUAUCUUUUUAUUUAUUUUUCUUUUUAUGUUUUUUAUUUUAUUUUUUGUUUUUUUUUUCUUUCUUUAUCUUUUCAAAAAAAAGAAACGAAAAUUAAAAAAAAAAUUAUCUUUUACUAUUUUUAUUUUUUUAUUUUUUAUUUUUAUUUUGUUUUUUUGGGCUAAUUUUGUGCUCUAGUGUAGUGUUCUUUAGUGUAUGCAGGAUAAAAUUUUUGGUACUAGGAGCACAAGAUUAUCAGGAGGCACAUAAGGAAGGAGAAUUGGUUCACCAACACCCUGAUGUGAAAAGUGACAAACCCUAAUCUGCCACAUCAAUGAAAUUCAAAAUUAGGUUAUGGGUUGUCAAGACUAUUAAAGCAAGCAGAGCUCUUGAGAUUGAGGAUCCUUAGAGUUGGUGACAAGAAAAUUGUUAGUGUCAUGAAGGAAGGAAGAAUGCCAACGUUAAAAAUCAACACCUACUGAUGGGUGUUUGGGCUUUACCGGGUCAAGCUAAUGACGUUAAAGAAGCGUUUGCUAGGAGGCAACCCAGUUUCUAACCUAGUUUCUGAAUUUUUUUUUAUCUUGUAUUUUGUUUUGAUUUGAUUUUAUUUGAUUUUAUUUGAUUUUAUUUUUUAUUUAUUUUAUUGUUUUAGGGUUUUGUGCUGCUUCUGAUGGCAGUGAUGAUUAGCAUCUACUGAUGGAUGCUAUAUGAUUAGACAUCUACUGAUGGAUGUCACUGACAACAUUUAUUGAUAAAUGCCAUUGGGAUAGCAUCUAUUGGGUGAUGUUAGAAGAUGUAGGUAUCUACUGAAGGAUACCAGGAAGGUACACCUACUGAUGGGUGCUAGAAAGGUUAGGGUCAGGCUCGUGACGUUAAACAAGCGCUACUUGGGAGGCAACCCAGUUUUCUAAACUUAUCUUUUUAAAUUAUGUUAUAUUUGCUUCUGUUUUUAGAAUAGGUAUUGAUGUACNAUAAAUCAAGAGGAGUAAAUAAGAGAGAGCGGAUAAGAUGAAAUUGUAAACCCCCAAAAACUCCAUUCAUGCAUCCACUUUUGUGUUUAACCUCAAUUGAUCAAAUUGCAUUCAUGUUUAUUUUUCUGCACUUUAUAAAAAUCCCAAAAUAUUAUUUUUAUUGUCUUGAUUGGUUAAAUAAAAGCACAACAGUUUAGUGUCAUGAGUCUCUUGGGAAAACGAUACUUGGACUUAUCAUUUAUUAUUACUUGAACGAUUUGGUACACUUGCCAAUCCGUUAACAAGUUUUUGGCGCCGUUGUCGGGGACUCAUGGUAGAACUAUUCUAUGUGUGUGAUUCUUGAUCGAUUAGACUUUUUUUUUUAUUUGAUCUUAUUUGAUUUGAUUUGAUUUUAUCUUAUUUUGUUUUAUUUUAUUUUAUCUUAUUUUGUUUCAUUUGAUUUGAUUUGAUUUGAUUUGAUUGGAUUUGAUUUGAUUUGAUUUGAUUUGAUUUGAUUUGAUUUUAUUUUAUUUUAUUUUAUUUUUUUAUCUUUCUGUUUUUAUUUCUUUUCUUUUAAAAAAAACGAAAAUAAAAUAAAAUAAUAUCUUUCCUUAUUCUUCUUUUUAUUCUUCUUCACAUUCUUUUCCUCAUUCUUCUCCUUAUCUUUCCAUCUGUCUACCUUUCUAUCUUUUUAUUUAUUUUUCUUUUUAUGUUUUUUAUUUUAUUUUUUGUUUUUUUUUUCUUUCUUUAUCUUUUCAAAAAAAAGAAACGAAAAUUAAAAAAAAAAUUAUCUUUUACUAUUUUUAUUUUUUUAUUUUUUAUUUUUAUUUUGUUUUUUUGGGCUAAUUUUGUGCUCUAGUGUAGUGUUCUUUAGUGUAUGCAGGAUAAAAUUUUUGGUACUAGGAGCACAAGAUUAUCAGGAGGCACAUAAGGAAGGAGAAUUGGUUCACCAACACCCUGAUGUGAAAAGUGACAAACCCUAAUCUGCCACAUCAAUGAAAUUCAAAAUUAGGUUAUGGGUUGUCAAGACUAUUAAAGCAAGCAGAGCUCUUGAGAUUGAGGAUCCUUAGAGUUGGUGACAAGAAAAUUGUUAGUGUCAUGAAGGAAGGAAGAAUGCCAACGUUAAAAAUCAACACCUACUGAUGGGUGUUUGGGCUUUACCGGGUCAAGCUAAUGACGUUAAAGAAGCGUUUGCUAGGAGGCAACCCAGUUUCUAACCUAGUUUCUGAAUUUUUUUUUAUCUUGUAUUUUGUUUUGAUUUGAUUUUAUUUGAUUUUAUUUGAUUUUAUUUUUUAUUUAUUUUAUUGUUUUAGGGUUUUGUGCUGCUUCUGAUGGCAGUGAUGAUUAGCAUCUACUGAUGGAUGCUAUAUGAUUAGACAUCUACUGAUGGAUGUCACUGACAACAUUUAUUGAUAAAUGCCAUUGGGAUAGCAUCUAUUGGGUGAUGUUAGAAGAUGUAGGUAUCUACUGAAGGAUACCAGGAAGGUACACCUACUGAUGGGUGCUAGAAAGGUUAGGGUCAGGCUCGUGACGUUAAACAAGCGCUACUUGGGAGGCAACCCAGUUUUCUAAACUUAUCUUUUUAAAUUAUGUUAUAUUUGCUUCUGUUUUUAGAAUAGGUAUUGAUGUACAUGGUUGGACACUAUAUCUGAUGCAAUGGUUUGAUAUUAAUUUUGCAUGAUGGGUAUUGCUUGAUGAGGCUUUGAUAUUGAUGAAGUUGAGAUUGCACAAUAUGCUGAUAUACAGGUGGUGGUUCACAAGCUGUGUGAACAGAUGCAUUGUAAUUUUGUGAUUGUGAUUAUAAGGCUAAGCAGGGUAUUUAAUUAAAUGAUUGGAAUAAGCUUAUGAGUGAGGUUUGAGCUCCAGAGUUCUGAUUGAUAUAUUUUCUAUCUACUGGAAGCAUGAAUGAUUUUGCCUAAGUUUCUAUGAUUGAUUGAAUUACGUGUAUGUGUCACAUGAUCAAGGCCAUUUUUGAUAAGCCCUUUUCUAAGCCAAAAAUUUCGUCCCACAUGAAAAAGAACAUCUUAUGUUCUACCCUUUUUUAACAUAAGCCUUAAACAAGAUGAAAACCCUUGCUAUGAAAAUCUUUGCCUUGAGUUAGGUUGAGAAAUAUUUUUGGGAUAUUGUUAAAGGUUCAAGUUUGGGGUUGUUGGGAGAAUUGAAAAAGAAAAAGAAAAGUUAAGCAUUGAGCUUAUGAGUUGAAAAGAAAAUGCAUGAGAAAAGAUGAAAAAGAUAGAAAAAGCAAAGCAUGAAAAGAAAAGCUCAAUGUGAAGAAAAGGGAAAGUUGGGAAUGAGUGAGAUUGGUAAAAAGAGAGUUUGUGCUUGGACUAUGAAUGUAUAAUAACUCUCUUAACUCAAGGGUUUUGUGAUCUAGAAAAACCAAUUUUCCUAGUUAGCCCAACCACAUUAUAAGCCUUGAAAAGUCCUUGUGAUGACAUGUGUAUGUGACGAUGUUUGAUUGUGGCAAAUGAAAGGCAAUUUUGUUCUAUGUGACAUGUAGAUAGUAGAGGGAAGGAGUGACCUCUUGAAACACCUGUGUGAUUGAGUGAAACACUUUAUCUGGUGAGGAAUGAUUCCAUGAAUUCAUGAUUACAUCUAUGCUUAGCUAACUGACCAUUCAUGAGAAUAACAUCUGUUGGAUAUUAUGUGAUUAUAUGAACACCACAAUGAGUUAAUUGAAUCAAAGCAUGUGCACAUCUUGACUAAAUUUUAUUGAUGAGUUGAUUUGAUUGAUUACCUAUUUUGAAAGAAAGAGCUUUUGAACGUGAUUGAACCAUUGUGUUGAUUUGUGGAAGACUAAGUUUCAUCUUGUUUGCUUGAGGACAAACAAAGUUUCAAGUUUGGGGUUGUUGAUAAAGGUUCAAAAACAAUUAUUUUCAUACUUAAUUUUAAUAUCAAAUGCACCCUUUUGACUUAGAAACUUGCUUGUUUUUCUUUAGUUUUGUGAAUAAAAGAGUUGAGGACAUGUUUUAUGAUUUUAUCGUUAAAUUCCCUUGAUUUUGUAGGUUUUUGCAAUGAUUUGAAGGAAUGGUUGAAUUAUCAAAUGGUUGGAGUGCAGAAAAGUCAAACAAAAUGCAGAAAAGUCAACCAGUCAACCAAAAAAGUCAACCGGUCAACCAGAAAAGUCAACCAGUUGACCAGAAUGCUGAAAAGUUGACCUGAGUGCAGUUGACCAGCGCCGGGUGGUGAAAUUGAGCGUCGGGCGGUGCUGCGGCUUGAGGGAAACCGCCCGGCGGUGAAAUUAGGCGUCAGGCGGUUGUCAGAUGGGCCUGAACCUGUUUUAUGUUAUUUUUUAUGAUCUAUUUGGGCUUGGGCUUGUUUUAUGUCAUUUUUAUGCCCUAUUUAAAGGCCAGAACGUCUUAGGGUUUGUAUCUUUUGAUAGCUUAGGCACAGAAACACACUUUUCACCCCUUUGGGGUAGAUUUGGAGAUGGUGACAGCUCUCCUUUUCUCCUUUUUAGGGUUUGUAUCUCUUUCAUUCGAUUCUUCACCUAGUUUCUCCAUGACGAUGGGAAACUAAUCUUAUUUGUUGUUGGGGAAACAAUGUAAUCUUUUGAUACUCUCUUUUAUUGAAACUCUUGUUUAUUUAUAUGGUUUCCAUAUGCUUUGAUUAUUAAUUGUUGGGUUCUCAUCUGUGCUUAAUGCUUUUAUCGUUUAACUCAUUCGAUAACUNUUGNUUGUNUNNAUNNAUACGGGGACGUACAGUAAUGUCAUGAACUGGUGAGUGAUUCCUUGAUUAACCAAUACCACCUAGGGAUAAGGGUAGGACGAUCAAUUGUUUUUCACUUCUGCUCUAUAAUGCAUUAUUAAUUGCUAGGGGAGGCUAAGGAUAGCAAGCCAGUAAUUAGUAAUAGGCUCUUUUCGCCGAGGGAUCGGGUUAAGGGUAGGCCAAGAAGGUUGCAUAACAAUUAGUAAAUCAAGCAAAUAAAUCAAGAGGAGUAAAUAAGAGAGAGCGGAUAAGAUGAAAUUGUAAACCCCCAACAACUCCAUUCAUCCAUCCAAUUUUGUGUUUAACCUCAAUUGAUCAAAUUGCAAUCAUGUUUAUUUUUCUGCACUUUAUAAAAAUCCCAAAAUAUUAUUUUUAUAGUCUUGAUUGGUUAAGCAAAAGCACAACAGUUUAGUGUUGUGAGUCUCUUGGGAAAACGGUACUUGGACUUACCAUUUAUUAUUACUUGAAGGAUUUGGUACACUUGUCAAUCCGUUAACAGGGUCUACCGCCCGGCGGUUUGCCUCUAAUCGCAAAUCUUCCCAGCGCCCACGCCAUAUGCCUAUUCCUCGCACUGGACCGCCCGACGGUGUAAUUUUCCGCCGGGCGGUACGUCGACUCCUCAUUUCUUCAUUUUUCUUCCCUUUUCUUGAGUCUACGACCUUCAUCUUCAACUCCAUUCUUCACUUUCUCAAAAAUGCUACAAAACAAUGCAAAACAAGGA
rnacentral:lncRNA from 1 species